GAUGAACGCUGGCGGCGUGCCUAAUACAUGCAAGUCGAGCGAACAGACGAGGAUCUUGCUCCUCUGACGUUAGCCGCGGACGUGUGAGUAACACGUGGAUACUCUACCUGUAAGACUGGGAUAACUUCGGGAAACCGGAGCUAAUACCGGAUAAUAUAUUGAACCGUGUGGUUCAUUAGUGAAGGACGGUUUUGCUGUCACUUAUAGAUGGUUAGGCGCCGCAUUAGCUAGUUGGUAAGGUAACGGGUUAUCAAGGCGAGGAUGCGUAGCCGACAUGCGAGGAGGGUCGGCCACACUGGAAGUGUGACACGGUACAGACGCCUACGGGAGGGAGCAGUAGGGAAUCGUCCGGCAGGGGCGGAAGCCUGACGGAACAACGCCGCGUCAGGGAUGAGGAUCUUCGGAUCGUGAAACUCUGUUAUUAGGGAAGAACAAGUGUGUAAGUAACUCGGCGCGUCUUGACGGUACCUGAGCAGAAAGGCACGGCUAACUACGUG
rnacentral:rRNA from 1 species